CUGGAUUAGACUCUGGACUCUGUCAUUUGUGAACUUGGACAAAUGACCUAACUUCUCUGGGACUCAAUUUCUUCAUCUUCGAAGGAGGAAUCUUUAAAAAGGGUAUCUCUGCCAGUGAAUUGCUUAGCAUAGUGCCUGGCACAUAGUAAAUCUUCACAAAAUAAUAGCUAUUAUCAUUGUUAUUAAUAUUUCUGAUGGCUUUUCAGUUCUCCUAAGGCCUGGCUUUACUUAGUUCCCUUUCCCAAGAGCCCAUUGUCUGUGUCUUUAUCCUCACCCUCCCUUCCCUUGAGGGAGUCUUGAAGGGCAUGCGCAGGCUGGCGUCCAGUGCAGUGAAAACCAGCUCUACCCUUUAAGACGAGCUCUUGAGAGGUUGGUUUGAGUCAUGUGCAAGAUUUGUUCUUCAUACAGUCACAACAAAAGGAAGAUAUAAAUAAUUCGUACUCCCACCAUGUUGUUUCCUUCUUUCAUCCUCAGGCCCUAUAAGUGUACAUCUGGGUCAUGCUCUAUGAAGAGACUGUUGUUAUCAAUGAGUUCGAUGCAUAUAUUUGUUAGCACUGACAGAUUCAGACACAGAUAUUUUCCACCUCCAAUGUUCAGAUCUGGUGUAGCUGCUGGGAGCCCUGGGCUGGAUAUGUACCCAGGUGACUCAUGGGGAAGGAUGCACCCUUCUGAGAAGCAUCACCUUUCUCAAGAAGCAUGACAGAGCUCCCGAUAUUAGACUUUCAAGACGUCUACCAGGCCUUCUUUGGAAUAAAUUGUGUCAUUGAAUGGCCACCUGCAUCCCACACAACAGCUUUAAAGGAGAAAACCCCAUGGAGAAAGAACUGAGACUGAGAGGAGUUCCAAACUAAAAAUAAACCACAGAUCUCAGCAAGGCUCUAUACCCUGGCUGUUGCCCUUGUCACUGACUUUUCCUUAUUGAAAGCUACUCAGAGACCUGAGGAAAGCUUUGUGCUAAUACCGAUAUGAUUGCUGUCAUCGCCACUACCUGGGCGCAUCCUUUGAUACACCUGACCGGUACUCCUCAGAACUGUCAAGGUCAUCAAAAACAAG
rnacentral:lncRNA from 1 species